rnacentral:rRNA from 1 species
UACAGAGGGGGCAAGCGUUGUUCGGAAUUACUGGGCGUAAAGGGUUCGUAGGUGGCCAACUCAGUCAGACGUGAAAUCCCUCAGCUCAACUGGGGAACUGCGUCUGAUACUAGAUGGCUCGAGUGCAGGAGAGGAACGCGGAAUUCCAGGUGUAGCGGUGAAAUGCGUAGAUAUCUGGAGGAACACCGGUGGCGAAGGCGGCGUUCUGGACUGCAACUGACACUGAGGAACGAAAGCCAGGGGAGCAAACGGG